GGGGGUAGAGCACUGUUUCGGCUAGGGGGCCAUCCCGGCUUACCAACCCGAUGCAAACUGCGAAUACCGGAGAAUGUUAUCACGGGAGACACACGGCGGGUGCUAACGUCCGUCGUGAAGAGGGAAACAACCCAGACCGCCAGCUAAGGUCCCAAAGUCAUGGUUAAGUGGGAAACGAUGUGGGAAGGCCCAGACAGCCAGGAUGUUGGCUUAGAAGCAGCCAUCAUUUAAAGAAAGCGUAAUAGCUCACUGGUCGAGUCGGCCUGCGCGGAAGAUGUAACGGGGCUAAACCAUGCACCGAAGCUGCGGCAGCGAACGUAUCACCCAAGACAACUUUACGGAGUUGACGAUUGACGGAGCGAAGCGACGUCAAAGCGUUCAUUAAAGUCGAGUUGGCUUAGGGAUACGUUCGUUGGGUAGGGGAGCGUUCUGUAAGCCUGUGAAGGUGUGUCGUGAGGCAUGCUGGAGGUAUCAGAAGUGCGAAUGCUGACAUAAGUAACGAUAAAGCGGGUGAAAAGCCCGCUCGCCGGAAGACCAAGGGUUCCUGUCCAACGUUAAUCGGGGCAGGGUGAGUCGACCCCUAAGGCGAGGCCGAAAGGCGUAGUCGAUGGGAAACGGGUUAAUAUUCCCGUACUUGGUGUUACUGCGAAGGGGGGACGGAGAAGGCUAUGUUGGCCGGGCGACGGUUGUCCCGGUUUAAGCGUGUAGGUGUGUGUUCCAGGUAAAUCCGGUUCACUUUAACACUGAGGCGUGACGACGAGGCACUACGGUGCUGAAGCAACAAAUGCCCUGCUUCCAGGAAAAGCCUCUAAGCAUCAGGUAACAC
rnacentral:rRNA from 1 species